AACCCAUGUUGUGGACAUUUCCGCAGAAAGUCCUAGAAUCGUUCCCAAGUUUCAAACAAAGUUUCAAGCUCCAUAUGAACAAAUGAAGAUAUCUACUUAUAAAGCU